CCUACGGGAGGCAGCAGUAGGGAAUAUUGCUCAAUGGGGGAAACCCUGAAGCAGCAACGCCGCGUGGAGGAUGAAGGUUUUAGGAUUGUAAACUCCUUUUGUGAGAGAAGAUAAUGACGGUAUCCCACGAAUAAGCACCGGCUAACUCCGUGCCAGCAGCCGCGGUCAUACGGAGGGUGCAAGCGUUACUCGGAAUCACUGGGCGUAAAGAGUGCGCAGGCGGGCUUGUAAGGCAGAUGUGAAAUCCUGUAGCUUAACUACAGAACUGCAUUUGAAACUAUGAAUCUAGAGUGUGGGAGAGGUAGGUGGAAUGCUUGGUGUAGAGGGAAAAUCCGUAGAUAUCAAGAGGAAUACUCAUUGCGAAGGCGACCUACUGGAACAUUACUGACGCUCAUGCACGAAAGCGUGGGGAGCAAACAGGAUUAGAUACCCGAGUAGUC
rnacentral:rRNA from 1 species